ensembl:lncRNA
ACCACAAGCUUCACGGCGGCCGAGAUUGCAGGGCCUAGCUCCGAGAAGGCUCAGGCUGCCAUUUGUCAGAUGUGGGCAUGAACACAGCGGGCCCCACCUAAACUUCAUAGCUUCAAAGGCUGCCUCCCUUACCCACUGAGGCAAUAAUGCUCCCUCUUUGACAAGAGCUCACAUCCUGAUCUUUUGUGCUGUCACUGAUUGUUGCACAACCACCUGGCUCAGCUGACAGGGUAUUUGGGCCAGAGGGCCAGUUAAUAUGAGCUUGUGGCAUGAGGGCAGCUCCAUGCCCCCAGAACGGGAGGCUGGGCACAGAGCCUCUGGGUCAUGAAGGCCCCUCUCCCGGCUCCUCCACCACCAUCUGCCAAGGUGAUGCCCCACAGAAUGGGAGCGGGCUGGCCCGAGGCACCUGGCAGCUCCUGCUCCUGUGUGGGCCCAGCCUGGUGAAAUUCUACCGGCCACUGCUGGGGCUGCAGGCCGCCGUGGCAAACAUGGCUUCCCACUGCCUGCCUCUCUACAUGCUGGGCUUCUGCGUCUUCUGGGGCAGCAAUCUACAGGUGACGGGGGUGCUCUUCCUGGCCCAGAAGCUGUGUAUGGAGGUGCUGCUGCCCGCCCAGCAGACCGUGUGGCGCCUGCUGACCAUCGCGCGGGGCUGGGGCCUUCAGCUGCUGGCCACCCUGAUGCACAGAGCCUGCCGCUGCGUCCCGUGGCUCCAGUGGCACUUGCGAUGGGAGGCCCACCUCGCCCUGCUGUCUGUGGCCCAGUGUGCCUACUACAGCCUGGUCGACUUCCACCAUGAGCACAGAAGGGCCUUGGAGCUGCUGCCACAGGCUGUGCUGCAGCAGACGGCCGUGUCUCUGCUGCUCCGCUGCCUGGACAGGUGGCCAGAGCCAUGUGGGGCGGUGGCCUGCGGUCCCUGGGAUGGGCCAGGCUGUGCAAGGCACCCUCUGAAGAUCUGGAUGCGGUCACCACCGUCCUUCCAGUGACCACCAUUCCUUUUAGCCAGCGCUUCCCUGGGCCUGACCCAGCCACCCUGAGCAGGCUCAGGCCAGCCUCCGUCAGUCUGUGCCUAGUGGUUGAGGACAAGGAUGCCAGCGAGGGAGAAGGAGGCUGCAGUCAGGGGACCAGCAAGGUGCCCAUUAGCACCAGGUUCCACAACAGUAGCACAAGCAAGAUGGACUUCAGAUCUUCAUCCAGGCAAGCCCUCGCACAACAAGUCAAAGCGACCUGUAUUCUUAUUGUUCUUCUGUAUAUCUACGCCGCGUGUCUCUUUGUGCAGGUCUUAAAAUAAAUGACUAAAUGUGAGCCAGCCUGUGAAAUGUCCAUGAUUUACCUUUGUCAAUGAGAGAUUGACUGGCAUCAGAUCUGUUCACUUAAGCCUUUGCUGAGCCGGGGGCAAGGAUGGGUAAUACUCAGUAUGCAAG